rnacentral:rRNA from 1 species
UACGAAGGGGGCUAGCGUUGCUCGGAAUUACUGGGCGUAAAGGGCGCGUAGGCGGGUCGUUUAGUUAGAGGUGAAAGCCCAGGGCUCAACCCUGGAAUUGCCUUUAAUACUGGCGGCCUUGAGCCACCUAGGGGCAACUGGAACAAGCGGUGGAGCGGUGAAAUGCGUAGAUAUCGCUUGGAACGCCAACGGUGAAAACAGGUUGCUGGGGGUGUGCUGACGCUGAGACACGAAAGCCAGGGGGAGCGAACGGG